CAAUACCGUGAGGUGGAGCGAAUCACAAAACCCGGUACUCAGUUCAGAUUGCAGGCUGCAACUCGCCUGCAUGAAGUUGGAAUUGCUAGUAAUCGCGAACCAGAAUGUCGCGGUGAAUACGUUCCCGGGCCUUGUACACACCGCCCGUCACACCAUGAGAGUCGAUAACACCCGAAGCCUGUGAGCUAACCGCAAGGGGGCAGCAGUCGAAGGUGGGGUUGAUGAUUGGGGUGAAGUCGUAACAAGGUAAC
rnacentral:rRNA from 1 species